rnacentral:tRNA from 1 species
AAGUCUGAAGUAUUAAUUGUACGUUUUAUUUACACUAAAGAAGUUUCCAGAUGGAACGGACUUA